rnacentral:rRNA from 1 species
CAGCCGCCGCGGUAAUACCGGCGGCCCGAGUGGUGGCCGCUAUUAUUGGGCCUAAAGCGUCCGUAGCCGGGCUGGUAAGUCCUCCGGGAAAUCUGGUCGCUUAACGAUCAGACUUCCGGAGGAUACUGCUGGCCUAGGGACCGGGAGAGGCCGAGGGUAUUCCCGGGGUAGGGGUGAAAUCCUGUAAUCCCGGGAGGACCACCUGUGGCGAAGGCGCUCGGCUGGAACGGGUCCGACGGUGAGGGACGAAGGCCAGGGUAGCGAACCGGAUUAGAUACCCGGGUAGUCCUGGCUGUAAACGAUGCGGACUAGGUGUCGGGCAAGCUAAGGGCUUGUCCGGUGCCGCAGGGAAGCCGUUAAGUCCGCCGCCUGGGGAGUACGGCCGCAAGGCUGAAACUUAAAGGAAUUGGCGGG